UGAGGUAACCGCAAGGAGCCAGCCGCCGAAGGUGGGACAGAUGAUUGGGGUGAAGUCGUAACAAGGUAGCCGUAUCGGAAGGUGCGGCUGGAUCACCUCCUUUCUAAGGAA
rnacentral:rRNA from 1 species